ensembl:lncRNA
AGGAUAGGAUCCAGUGAGCAUGUUAGAACCUCUGUGUGUCAGGACAGGAUCCAGUGAGCAUGUUAGAACCUCUGUAUGUCAGGACAGGAUCCAGUGAGCAUGUUAGAACCUCUGUGUGUCAGGACAGGAUCCAGUGAUCAUGUUAGAACCUCUGUGUGUCAGGAUAGGAUCCAGUGAGCAUGUUAGAACCUCUGUGUGUCAGGACAGGAUCCAGUGAGCAUGUUAGAACCUCUGUGUGUCAGGACAGGAUCCAGUGAUCAUGUUAGAACCUCUGUGUGUCAGGAUAGGCAAGGCAGGCAAGGCAAUUUUAUUUAUAUAGCACAUUUCAUACACAAUGGUCAUUCAAAGUGUGUCAGGACAGGAUCCAGUGAGCAUGUUAGAACCUCUGUGUGUCAGGACAGGAUCCAGUGAUCAUGUUAGAACCUCUGUGUGUCAGGACAGGAUCCAGUGAGCAUGUUAGAACCUCUAUGACAGGACAGGAUCCAGUGAGCAUGUUAGAACCUCUGUGUGUCAGGACAGGAUCCAGUGAGCAUGUUAGAACCUCUGUGUGUCAGGACAGGAUCCAGUGAGCAUGUUAGAACCUCUGUGUGUCAGGACAGGAUCCAGUGGUCAUGUUAGAACCUCUGUGUGUCAGGACAGGAUCCAGUGCUCUUUCCCGUAUAACUGAGAUAUGCUCCUUUUAGCAAAGGGCAAUGUUUGCAUCUUUGAAAUGUUACAAAUAUGUUGGUUCAAUCAAAAAUCACCGUUAAUGGUGUGUAGCCAACAAAGUGUAUUCAGGGGAUUUUCUAUAGUCCAUUGUUUUACAUUUCUAAUCUUUUUUCUGUCAUUGUGUUUUAUGGCCAAUGUACAUUAAUGUUAGGUUCAUCUAUAUGCAGUCUUGUAUGGCUCAAAUGGUAAUGUUUAGAUAUAUUUUCAUAUAUUUAUGAAAUGUGAAUGUUUUUUUUUGUUUUGUUUUGCUUUUGUCUUAAUUGUGAAGGCUUCACUGAACAGGACCAAUAUUCUCAUAAUUCUUCUUUUCAAAAACAUGAGUUUGUAAAAAUAAACAACAUAAAAACUGACGUGUGUAAUGUAAUUUACUUUGUGUAGGUCACAUGCUUGGAAAAAUAGCAUUGAAUUACAUUUGCUGUCACGAGUCACAUGCCAUGUACAGUAGUAUGCUCUGUAGUUAUAUCCAGGUCUGUGUGAACACUGAUGUCCAGGUCAGUGUGAAGACUGAUGUCCAGGUCAGUGUGAAGACUGAUGUCCAGGUCAGUGUGAAGACUGAUGUCCAGGUCUGUGCGUGAAGACUGAUGUCCAGGUCUGCGUGAAGACUGAUGUCCAGGUCUGUGCGUGAAGACUGAUGUCCAGGUCUGCGUGAAGACUGAUGUCCAGGUCUGUGCGCGAGUUGGAUUGGUUAAACCUCAGAUGCUUUCAUUAGUAAUCUGAGUUAAAGUAAACACCCACGGGCAACCUGGCAGAUCCACAUCUGGCCACUUUGUUCUCCACUCCGUUGCAUUAUCUAUAUAUCCACACAGACAACUGAUUCAUAUUACAGAGGAUCCAGGUACAACAAAUCACAGCCUUGAGAGGUGCAACAGCUAUAUUAAACAGCACAAUCAGCGCCGGGGUGUUAGUUGUCUGGAGCCUCUGUAAUAAAGGGUUGUCUGUCUUCAGUAAAAUGUUGGUAAGCUUCAAAAACAAUUAAGAGAACACUGCACCUUUUUCUUUCCUUUUCAUAUAAGUUGAAAAGGAAAGUUUUGAGUGAGGAACAGAAACAUUCAAUUUGCAGUGGUCUAGUAAUUUUAACCCUUCUGUUCCUCACUCAAAACCUUCCUUUUUGACUUUUUUGGAAAGGAAAGAAAAAGGUGCAGUGGUCUCUUAAUUUUUUCCAGAGAUGUAUGGUUGACAGCUGCUACCCUUUCAAUGCAGUUCUUUUCCUGCGCAGGAAUCCAAACAUUUGUGUUUUUAGGGCAUGGCUGAGCAGAAAGAGAUUGGAGUCAAACUUUGACCUGAACUAAAUACAUUGUUGGCUAAAGAAGAAUGUAGGCCCAAAGUGCUGAGAGAGAAACCAGAUGAUAAGAGUAAGGAAAUGACGCUGUUAGCAAGGCCCACAUCCUGAUGAUUUGGCACAUGCUUCACCGCUAACUCAGACAAAAAAAAACACGAGACCGACAACCCAGACAGGUCUUGAGCAGUGUGUUGUGGACACUAAAUAAGUCGGUUUCAUAUAACUCAGAUUGUGACACAGUAUCUUCAGGCAUGUGUUUGCUUUAUAGGUACAGACUGUGGGAAAGAUAGACUUAUUGUUGAAAGAUUCAAUCUGAUUGACCAAGAGCAAUGAUAGCAUUUCGUCAAGCCAACCCUAACCUGGUCAGUGAUUUCUGAGAUAUCGAGGCAGUGGUGUUUAAGAAAUUGGGUCAGUGGUAUCUGAGAUAUUAGGUCAAUAGUGUUUGAGAUAUAGGUUCGGUGGUGUUUGAGAUAUCCGGUCAGUGGUGUUUGAGAUAUUGGGUCAGUGGUGUUUGAGAUAUCGGGUCAGUGGUGUUUGAGAUAUCGGGUCAGUGCUGUUUGAGAUAUCGGGUCAGCGUGUUUGAGAUAUCGGGUCAGUGCUGUUUGAGAUAUCGGGUCAGUGGUGUUUGAGAUAUCGGGUCAGCGGUGUUUCAGAUAUCGGGUCAGCGGUGUUUGAGAUAUCGGGUCAGCGGUGUUUCAGAUAUCGGGUCAGUGGUGUUUGAGAUAUCGGGUCAGUAUUUUUAUUCAAGGCCUUUUUAUUCAAGGCCAUUUGAACGGUACAACAUAUGGUUCCCUUCCUGUUGCCAUUCGUCUGUCCUGUGUAGCCAUUCACGUAUCCCCGAACUCGAAGCACAUCCGCUGACUACAAGACAUUAUUACCUGAUGGGAUGUUUUAAUCGUAUCCUGCUUUUGCAUUAUUUCCCUCUAUACAAACAGAAAAUGUUUAAAGAAAGAACAAUGAUAUAUGAUGUCAGAUGGUUCCACAGUGUGACUGCCCUGACAUUUUAAUAACUUUACCUUCUUUGACUAUGUGGUCAUAUUGACUGAUUAAUUCAUCUUAGCUACACAAACAUCAAACACAUACAUAUGUCUAAAGUCAUUUGUCUAAAGUAAUCUAAUCAUUACUCCAAAUCUUUAAGUUCCACAAACAAAUGGCUUUUGAGUGAAUAAACUUAAAUCUUUUAGUCUUUGUAGUCAGUUGCCUUACAUUUUUUGAGUUCUGAUAACUUAUUUGGGUUUACAGUGUAUGAGGCCAUUAUGAUUUAAAUAACUUCUAUACUUAACUUCUGGAAUGUUUCCCUCCUACGUGCAGUUUCCUCUCCUUUUUUUCCAGUGGUAGGGGGGUACUUGUAGUAUUUGGGGUGGUUAUUGUUGCGUUCCAUUAAUAACACAACAGGCUAGGUAGAGUGAAGGCUACAACCAUGAUUUAAAUGUAUUGCACAAACAUCCUCCCUGUACACCAGUCUCUCUUGCAGCAUUCCCUGAUAAUAACCUAUGUUCUCCCCAUCAAUGAACUAUUCUAUAAAACUGUUCAUGAAUCACCUCCCAGACUCAUAAUAAAAGCAACUAUCUAGCUACUAAUUAAUGAGGCAAUAUGAAUUCCAUGUACAGUAUAAUGUGUUGCAUUGGGAGUAAAGAAGGGGUAGAAAAUAUACCUUUCCUGGAUGUAGUGCCCCAUGAUUUAACAUUAUAUUCAUAACUUUAUCAGAAAAUGUAAAACAAUAAUAUCAUGAAUAUCAUUUUUAAUAUUAGAUAUGUUCUGUGCUUUAAUUAACUUAAACUCUAACCAUUUCUCAACUUGCUCCACUUAACUUAUAACUUAAGUACUAUUUAAAUUGUAUUUUUUUAUUUAUUUAUAUUUCUCCUGCAUAGUUAUUCCUAACAUAAUACACACUAUGCAGAUCUGCAAAAAACAUUAAAUUCAUAUCCUAUAUAUAAUGUAUCCUAUAUAUAAUGUAUCCUAUAUAUAAUGUUUAGAGUGUCCAAACCUUUGACUGGUAUUGAAUGUGUUCUGUUUCGUCUUGUCUCUCUCUGCUCGUAGGCAAAAUACAAAAAUCUGAAAUCUUCAUGUUGCCGCCAAAUGUCUAAUGUUGGCUGCAUGACAAUAAUCUAUGGUAGUUUAUUGUAGCUAUUGUUAUUUAUGUUUAUGUUAUUUUUAAUAAUUUCAUAUGUUUUGUAAAUACAUUUUGUUGUUGUGACUGUUUCUGUGAUUCUGUGUAAUUUGUGUAACUGUUGCCCCAGGGCUCCCUUGUAAAAGAGAUUUGAUUAUCUCAAUGGGACAUCCCCUGGUAAAAUAAAG